GUUUUCUAGCUUCUCGUUUUGAACGUCCUCGGAGUUGACCAGCUGGUAGAGCUUGUCCCAAUGUCAGAUGCGUUGGACAAUGUGACCACAAUGAACCAAAUCCUAUCAAGCCUGGAGACAGGACACUCCAAAAUCCCACUCUCCAAAAUGGAUGAAUUCUUGAUGGCGUUCAAUUUGAUGAUGCAACAGGGAACAAUCCCCGGUUUCAGAAACCCUGAGGUGAGAUUAGAAAUGCUGACCACCAUGUUAAUGAACCUGGCACGCUAUUUCAAUAAAUUCACUGACUUAGACUACCAGGCCUGGUUCACGGAGAAGUUGAGAUUCCUCUUGCCUGGCAUCAAUGGGGAUCUACUCCAGCUAAUACCACUUGACCUCAAUUUUCCUUCCUACAAAGCCAUUUUUGGAGGCUUGGAUCAGGUCUACCCAGAAUUACCUGAACAGACAUCUCGCCAUAUCUAUGAUUUGAUGAAAAUGAUCAUGGAAGGCCAACUGAACGUCUCAGGAACAGCAUUUCCUGGUGCAUAUAACAACAGCCAAAGCUUCCUGGAGCAAAUAUUUUACAGAUUUAGACAUUUUGCUACUUAUGCUGACCUUCUCAUGUUGUACAAGGAUUUUAAUGGGGUAGGUGAAUGUAAGCAUUCUUCAGGAAAUAGUGUACAUAAGCCGAAAUGCCCUAGAGACACCAAAUUUGGUCUAAUCUUGGAAGAAAAGAGACUGCGAAUGAAUACCAGGCAUUUAGAAGAAGGAAUUGGCAAAACCAUGGCUUGCAAUUUUCCUGUCUAAGAAAAUCCUCUGAAAGACAGGCAGCUAGAAGUCAUAUAUAAGCACACAGUAAUGAAUAGCAUCUUGCCAUUUUGUCAUCAAUGUUGUGGGUUGUAGAUAUAAAUAAAUAGAAGCUUUACCAUUGUUUCCGAACCAAAAUAUACCCUGCAGUAUAAUAAAGUAUUACUCAGAUUUGUGUAACAA
rnacentral:lncRNA from 11 species